rnacentral:rRNA from 1 species
CACGUAGGGCGCAAGCGUUGUCCGGAAUUAUUGGGCGUAAAGAGCUCGUAGGCGGUCUGUCGCGUCUGCUGUGAAAUCCCGAGGCUCAACCUCGGGCCUGCAGUGGGUACGGGCAGACUAGAGUGCGGUAGGGGAGAUUGGAAUUCCUGGUGUAGCGGUGGAAUGCGCAGAUAUCAGGAGGAACACCAAUGGCGAAAGCAGCUUUCUGGGACGGUACUGACGCUGAGACGCGAAAGCGUGGGGAGCGAACAGG